AUCCGGGAAUUCUACGCGGCAAUUGGUUCGCGUUGCGGUUGUCUUCUGUACACUGUACACUGGGCUAUGAUUAUUAUUGGUCAACAGCACGUCUUGUGUUGCGAAUUUUGUCGAGACGUUACGGGCGCGACACGUGUCAUGACGUGUGAUGUGGUGUGACGUCACGACUGUUAAACGGGAGAAAAACGGGAUAGAGAAAAUAUCAAAUGAAAGGUUGGUUACGUGAAAGUGUUGUUAUAUUUCUAUUCAAGUUAUUUAAUUAGUUGACUAUUUUUACUGAAAAUAUUGAAUUUUGGCGAAUUUGUAUAGACCACGCAUUUGAAAUUGUAUGAAUUUUGUUUGUCUAAUAUUUGGCAAUUAUGUUUACGCAAGAUGUUUUGGAAUAUAUGAUAUCCCACUGACUAACUGAGUAUGAGUAGAUAGUUUGGUAAUAUAAAAUAUAAAAAAAUGAAAUUAAUAAAAUAAAUAAAUAAAUAAAAUAAAUAAAUACAACAAAUAAAUAAAAUAAAUAAAUAAAAUAAAAUAAAUAAAAAAAAAAUAAAUGAAUAAAAUCAAAAAUAAAAUAAAUAAAUAAAAUAAAUAAAAUAAAUAAAUAAAAUAGAAUAAAAUAUAUAUAUAUAUAUAUAUAUAUAUAUAUAUAUAUAUAUAUAUAUAUAAAAUAAACAAAUAAAUAAAAUAAAUUAAAUAAAUAAAUAAAAUAAAGUAAAUGGUAAGUUAGACGUCUGAAAUUUUGGGACAACACUUAAUUGCUAAUCUGGUACAGGAUGGACUUUAGAAAACCCGAGGGUGAGCAUUAUGUACGUAUACAGAACCUGCACUCAAGCAUUACCGUUUACCGUUUCGUUUCCAUAGCGACAGUGAACCCUACGUUUUCCGGAGUCUAUUUACUUCAUCAUUCCUGCUUGCUAGAGCAGUUUGCGAAGUCUUGUGUUCACGAAUAGAUGAUUGUACACAAGGAAUCUCAUGAAAACGUUUGUCCAUCGAUCCACACUAGCUAGAGAUAGGCUGUCCUCCCCCACUUCCUCAAUGCAACGACCUCACGAGACAAAUCGUAUCUUGUGACAUUCUUGGAUAAAUUCCCCGGACGAUUGCAAGUCGUUGAGAGCAGGAGUGGUCAAUCUUGUUGAGAAUACCGAGUAGCAACCAUGCAGCAGCAAUCGAACGUCGUCGUUGUGGCGGCUCCAUCAGCUCCCGCGCAUCACACCACCGUCGUUGUGGACAGACGUGGUCCCAAUCACUGUCUUCAUUUCUGCAUUACUCUUUUCUUCUUUCCGUGGAUUAUCGUUUGGAUCAUUGUGUGCCUCACAGACAACUAGAUGGCUGCUCGAUGUACUUGCAGAGUCGUUGAGACCUUGGACGGACACUCCAGUACAAUAACUUCAUGCUGUACAUGUUUUGUUAGUGUUUGCUGAGCGCGCGUUUCUCUAGCCCUAACGGGUAGCACUGUUUGUGUGUUUGUACCUUGCAAUGCUUGAUUCGAUGGUUUGAGCUACCCAAAUAAUUACUACCCAUAUAAUUGGA